rnacentral:rRNA from 1 species
CAAUAGCGUAUAUUAAAGUUGUCGCAGUUAAAAAGCUCGUAGUUGGAUUUCUGUGUAAACGGGUUGACCGGCCUUUGGCUUGCGUCUGAUUUCGUUUGCACAUUUUCCUGCAAUUCCGCCUGUCAUUUACUUGGUGGGUGGGAGUGCAGGACUUUUACUUUGAGAAAAUUAGAGUGUUUCAAGCAAGCGUUUGCUUUGAAUACUGCAGCAUGGAAUAAUAUUACAGGACUUCGGUUCUAUAUGUUGGUUCUAGUGCCGAAGUAAUGAUUAACAGGGACAGUUGGGGCACUCGUAUUUGACUGUCAGAGGUGAAAUUCUUGGAUUUGUCAAAGACGAACUACUGCGAAAGCAUUUGCCAAGGAUGUUUUCAUUAA